rnacentral:rRNA from 1 species
AUUGAACGCUGGCGGCAUGCCUUACACAUGCAAGUCGAACGGCAGCACGGGAGCAAUCCUGGUGGCGAGUGGCGAACGGGUGAGUAAUACAUCGGAACGUGCCCAAUCGUGGGGGAUAACGCAGCGAAAGCUGUGCUAAUACCGCAUACGAUCUACGGAUGAAAGCAGGGGAUCGCAAGACCUUGCGCGAAUGGAGCGGCCGAUGGCAGAUUAGGUAGUUGGUGAGGUAAAGGCUCACCAAGCCGUCGAUCUGUAGCUGGUCUGAGAGGACGACCAGCCACACUGGGACUGAGACACGGCCCAGACUCCUACGGGAGGCAGCAGUGGGGAAUUUUGGACAAUGGGCGAAAGCCUGAUCCAGCCAUGCCGCGUGCAGGAUGAAGGCCUUCGGGUUGUAAACUGCUUUUGUACGGAACGAAACGGCCUUUUCUAAUAAAGAGGGCUAAUGACGGUACCGUAAGAAUAAGCACCGGCUAACUACGUGCCAGCAGCCGCGGUAAUACGUAGGGUGCAAGCGUUAAUCGGAAUUACUGGGCGUAAAGCGUGCGCAGGCGGUUAUGUAAGACAGUUGUGAAAUCCCCGGGCUCAACCUGGGAACUGCAUCUGUGACUGCAUAGCUAGAGUACGGUAGAGGGGGAUGGAAUUCCGCGUGUAGCAGUGAAAUGCGUAGAUAUGCGGAGGAACACCGAUGGCGAAGGCAAUCCCCUGGACCUGUACUGACGCUCAUGCACGAAAGCGUGGGGAGCAAACAGGAUUAGAUACCCUAGUAGUCCAAGGGCGAAUUCCACAGUGGAUAUCAAGCUUAUCGAUACCGUCGACCUCGAGGGGGGGCCGGGUACCCAGCUUUUGUUCCCU